CGUUGAUACACUAUAGGCAGGGCAAACGACAUGGGUUCGUUCAUGUUUUACAACUGACCUUGGAAAAAGUUAAUCACAGAAUGAAGACAACACACGACGUAGACCGUGGAUAUGCCUAUGUCAUUCUGCUGGCCUCGUACUGUGUGAUGUUCAUCUGUGGGGUGUUGGUGUACUCCACUGGGGUGAUGAACACCGCAAUCUUGAAAGAAGUUGACAGCGACCUCUCACGGACGUCAUGGGUUGGCUCGACACUACUGGGGACCUUCACCUUCAUUGGGUCCCCUGGCGGGUCUGAUCACAAAGAAACUCGGCUGCAGGCUGUCCUGUUUCGGAGGAGGAAUGCUAAUUUUGCUGGGACUCGCUGCGGCAUCGUUUGUUCAUGACGUUACUGGACUCAUCAUUACAUAUGGAGUCAUUGCAGGGUUUGGCGUUGGUCUGGGGCUGAAUUCCGCUGGCGUAGCUCCUGGCCAUUACUUUAUCAAAAAACGAGGUCUGGCGUUUGGCGUGACUGUAUCAGGUGCUGGUAUGGGCAUGUUUGCAGGAGGUCCUCUAUGUCAGAUACUGGUCGAGGAGUACGGUUUAAGUGGCUGUCUUCUCAUCUUAGGCGCCAUCGCCUCCAAUAUGUGUGUUGCAGCCUGCCUCCUCAGACCCGCACCAAGCACCAAGCAGGAGAUUAUCAUAGAAACCAAACAUGAAGCGGACACUGGCAUAUCAGAAACAUUCUUCAACGAGUCAGCUAUAUCAAAGCAAAAAAAUGCGUGUUGAUAGUGUCGACAGUGUUGAUAGUGUCGCAUCUGUAAUAAAACCAUUGAUGUUGGACAAUUGUAGUAAUAGUGGUGGUGCAGUUCAACAUUCCACGAACUAUCGGGAAAAACAAAUCAGAG